AUUGAACGCUGGCGGCAGGCCUAACACAUGCAAGUCGAGCGAGCGGCGGACGGGUGAGUAAUGUAUGGGAAACUGCCUGAUGGAGGGGGAUAACUACUGGAAACGGUAGCUAAUACCGCAUACCAUCGGAUGUACCCAGAUGGGAUUAGCUGGUAGGUGGGGUAAUGGCUCACCUAGGCGACGUUCCCUAACUGGUCUGAGAGGAUGACCAGCCACACUGGAACUGAGAAACGGUCCAGACUCCUACGUGAGGCAGCAGGGGGGAAUAUUGAACAAUGGGCGCAAGCCGAAUGCAGCCAUGCCGCGUGUAUGAAGAAGGCCUUCGGGUUGUAAAGUACUUUCAGCGGGGAGGCGUUACCCGCAGAAGAAGCACCGGCUAACUCCGUGCCAGCAGCCGCGGUAAUAC
rnacentral:rRNA from 1 species